AUGAGACCACUCUCCAAACGUUCACUGGAUCCGCACUCCAAAGGUUCGUCUGGUGUCCGAUCCUGCCGUGUGGACACAGUCCAGACCACCGAGCUCCUCUUCUUUCUGUCUGAUCCGGUUCUGUCCAGGCCGUUCACACCACACACUGACAACAUGCUGGGGACCCUCUGCACUCUCAUCACUGCGCUCUCAUGUAAGGCAUUAUUAUUAGUUGGUGAUAAUCCAAUACUUCACUUUGGAGUGACAGUGGUGACACAGAAGCCUCCUGUUCUGACAGUGAGUAAAGGAGGGACGGCCACUAUGGACUGUAACCUCGGGACUGUGAUUAAUUAUUCUGCUCUCUGGUAUAAACAGAUUCUUGGUGGAGUUCCUCAGUUUAUUCUAUAUUACAACUACAGAAUGAGAGAUCGUUCUCCAGGCUAUGGAGCUGGUGUCUCAACCAGUCAUUUCACAUCAAAAUGUCAGACUGAUUCUGACUGUCAGUUAAUAAUUUCUAAUAUGGAGGUGGGAGACUCAGCAGUGUAUUACUGUAGCACAUGGGAUAGCUCUGUAAGUGAGUGGGUAUCACAGUGA